rnacentral:rRNA from 1 species
UACGAAGGGGGCUAGCGUUGUUCGGAAUUACUGGGCGUAAAGCGCGCGCAGGCGGCCUUCCAAGUCAGUGGUGAAAGCCCGGAGCUCAACUCCGGAACUGCCAUUGAAACUGUGAGACUGGAGUACGAGAGAGGUGAGUGGAAUUCCCAGUGUAGAGGUGAAAUUCGUAGAUAUUGGGAAGAACACCGGUGGCGAAGGCGGCUCACUGGCUCGUAACUGACGCUCAGGCGCGACAGCGUGGGGAUCAAACAGG